rnacentral:lncRNA from 1 species
GCUACUCUGAAUAUUAAAAUCUACUGUUCAUUAACUUUUCGCUCUGACUUAAGCAUCGGAGGGUCUCCAUCAGACAUUGCUCCGAUCUACGUGGAUGCUGUUUUGUAGGUAUCCAUCACCGGUUACAGACGACGGAGAGUUGGCCACAAUAGAUUGACGAGUCAGAUAGGGGGAGCGAUCACACACAUCAUAAAAAAAUUAGAGCCCAACAUUCGACUACAACCGGAUCGACG